rnacentral:rRNA from 1 species
UGAGGAAUUUUGGGCAAUGGGCGAAAGCCUGACCCAGCAACGCCGCGUGAAGGAUGAAGUAUUUCGGUAUGUAAACUUCGAAAGAAUAGGAAGAAUAAAUGACGGUACUAUUUAUAAGGUCCGGCUAACUACGUGCCAGCAGCCGCGGUAAUACGUAGGGACCAAGCGUUGUUCGGAUUUACUGGGCGUAAAGGGCGCGUAGGCGGCAAUUCAAGUCAUCUGUGAAAUCUCCGGGCUUAACUCGGAACGGUCAGAUGAUACUGCUUUGCUAGAGUGCAGAAGGGGCAAUCGGAAUUCUUGGUGUAGCGGUGAAAUGCGUAGAUAUCAAGAGGAACACCUGAGGUGAAGACGGGUUGCUGGGCUGACACUGACGCUGAGGCGCGAAAGCCAGGGGAGCAAACGGGAUUAGAUACCCUGGUAGUCCCUGAGCGGGCUGGCAAGGCGCAU